CUAACGGAAAACUCAUAGACUGAUCUGUACUCGAAAAGGGAAAAGAACUUGACGACACUCACGCAUUAUAUUAUCAGCAAAAGACGACCUGAAAACCGACCAAUAUGAGGAUAUAUGCGCUCAUUCUCCUGCUCUCCCUGCUCCUGGGGGCGGUCCUGGAGGUGAACACCCAGAUAGUCACCCGUCGGAGGAACUUCCCAGGGGAGAGAAGGCUGGGGAGCAUAAACUAUGGACAGUACAGGUUCGGGAAGAGAGGAUACCAGAAGAAGCAGCAUCCGAGAAAAUUCACGUGAAGACAUCAGUUCCUUGGUAUAUAUACUGUACUGACUAACGGACUUAUUGACAAUGACGCUUGAAUUGAUGAUAUAUAUAAAGGCUUUAAACUCUAAAUGGCUUUGUAAAUAGACAUUAAGAAUGAAUCCAGAAUUAGUCAUUUAGCAUGUAAAUAUGUUUAAAGAGGAAAAUAUAUAGAUAUAUAUUUUUCCAUGAAGACUGGGAGACGCAGAGGCGUAGAAUAGAAAUAGAUAUUGUAAGACCUAGAAGUAAAAAAUAGAAAAGUAAAAGAAACUAGAUAAAGACUAAACCAUAUGCAAUGACCAAUCUAUAAAGAGCUUGAUGCUUGUCUAGACUCAGACAUUAGGUUGCUGAACCCUAGUGGAAGGGAACCAUGAGUGUAUUAAAGCCCUUUGGAAUAGCCACUACACGCAUCUCACCUGGUACUGAGAGAGCACCAAGUUCACGAGAUCGAGCUAAACCCCCGAGGAGAAUUGUCGGAUAAAAAUCUUCCCACAGCUUCAAAAAUCGUCUCCUGCGCUGCACCACCUAAGACCCUACCCAGCUGACAGCCAGGAACCUUGAAGAUGGCUUGAAGGAUAACACCGAUAGUGAUUGAAGAAGGAUAUCAUUUUAAAGAUGGUUUGGAAGAUUGCUCAUGGUGACCUGAGAGAUAACUUGAUGGUGACCCGAAUGAUAACCUGAUGGUAACUUGAAGGGAAAUUCCUUGACAAUGGCUAGCUUGUGUUAUUUUGCUUGCGACAUCUUCAGAUCUAGAAACCCAAGGGAUAACUUUGAUCAGUGUCUGUAGUCUCAAAUGUAGCGACCUUUGAAUGACGAUUAGCCAUUGCAAAAUAAAUGCAUGAUAGAUACCCUACCGCAGAAUCGCCAAACUAACAUUGGUGAGAAGCUAUAACCAGCUCUGAUUAAUAAUUGAUGGUUAGUCUUAAAUUAGUGCUCUAAUGUGUAAUGAAAUUGGAGGAACCUUCAGUAUGAUAUAUAUCUAUAAUGCUGUUAAUGUUUUAUUCUGUUAUAUUCAGAUAUAUUUAUACUGUUGAGAAAUUGUUGUCGUUAUAUAAUCCUGUUACAUAUAUAUUUUGCUUGUUUAUUGGUUUGUUCACACAAGUUAUUAAAGUGUUAUGUUCUCUGUUAAUUGUUGGGAAAUUAUCAUUAUGUAUGCCUUUUAUAAUAAAAUAACAUUUCUUGACUUGUAUUUGAAUGGCGUGAAAUAGAAACUUUACAUUUUAUAUUUACCUACACUAUCACUACCAUGCAUAACAUAGUACCAUAACCAUUACCAUUACAAUACCCGUUACCAUUUCCAAAUUUCGCCAGUGUUACCAUUCUUCACGCAACGAGACUACAGCAAGAUUAGCAUCCUUAAUACCUGUUCUUGCCAAAA